CUUGGAGACAUCCAUGUCCACUGAAGACAUCUGUGUCCACGUGUAGGAGAGUUCCACACAAUCAGGAAUAACAUCAUCAGGCUGAGUGUGGCGCUUCUGUUCCUGCUGAUCCCGCUGAUCCUGCUGAUCCUGCACUUUAGAACUUCACGCAGGAAGACAACCAUGGAACCAAAUGAGCUCGUUCAGGCUUCAGAGCCGAUGGACGAUGGCGACUAUGAGAUCAUCCGCACUGCAGACCUUCACCAUCCUUGGAGAACACUUCCUGUUACAUGUCAAGAAUGAAGUUUAAAAAGUAAAAAAAAAAAAAAAUACAUGGAAAUAAAUUGAAAAUAAG